GUACCUAUUUACUUUCAACGUGAGUUGCUGUGAUAAGAAUUUAUUACAGGACCUUGGGGAAAUGUUGUUACAUCUAUUAAAAAAAAAGUUGCCAUUAAUUUUGUGGAAUUAGAACAUCGAUUUAAUUUGGCCUUCUUUAAUUGAUGUUAGGUAAUUGUUAAUUGCUGCUGAAGCAACUCUGGGCAUUUUCCUGCAUGAAUAUCAGGAACAGUACUGUAGGGACUGAGCUACUGCAACUAACUCUUAUGAAGGUCAGAAUGAUUUGCGGACAAACAUGUCAUGUUGACUCCCUGUGACUGACCAUCAUGGGCAUUGACUUCUGGGCUUUGGAACAGCUGCUGCUUCCGUAGACUGUUGAGGCAUAAAAACCUCUUGGAAUAGGACUCAGAAGAUGUUUCUGUUUUUUUCAAUAAGCACGUGAAAUUCCCAGAUUGGGAUUGGAGCUAUGGAAUUUGUAUUUCUGUCAUAAUGUGUGGUCUCACCUGGGCGUACUCUACCCUUUUCCCUACACCAAAUGUGCAUAGCACAGUUGGGUCUGACUUGCCCAAGCUACCUCCUAAAAGUCAAGGUUGUCAGACACCAAGUGAUGUAUGAGCUCCAACAGCACUGCUCUGCAGUUGGUGACCUGCCUGCUCAGGGAGUUCAGGUCCACGGUUGGAUUAACAUCUCAUUCCUUCUGUAUGUCUGGAUAUCUGGAAUUGCCUUGACAUGUUGAAAGAAAUGCCAUCAAGCUUCUUUUACGUAUUUUGGAUGUGCUUUAAUUCUUAGUAUACUUCAGCUUCAUACCUGUUCUGUAAUAAUACAUCACAUUUGAAAUCACAGUGACAGUGGAUUAUCCAACUUCUGUGGAGUCAAAAUCAGAUGCAGCAUCUCUUGUACGUAGCGAAUUCAGGAUCACUCAGUGCAUAUGCUUCCUCCCUCCCUGACUAUUUUACUACCCUUGCAUAGUUGGUCUUCAUACAGGCGUUAACAGAGAACCAUUCAUAAUGUCAAAUGCUUAAAAUUUCCAAUCUCAGUAAGAAAGUUGCCAUCUUGUAGUCUUCCUGUUUGCUGGGACUUGCUCCUUUAAGGCAAAGAUGAAGCUUGAUGUAGCUUGUGUAGAGAAGUUUCCCAAAUUUCCAGAGAACCAACCGAAGGCUUUUAAUAGCUGCCUUCUUGUACUUGUGCUUACCUCACCUCUGCUCCGCAGGCAGUGCAUCUUCUCAUUGUGUCCUAGCCCUGAGGCUCUGACACAGAGCUGCCUCUAGCUUCACACCAUACCGGGCAGUGCGGCAGCCCUUCUAGCUGGCUCCUGCCAGCAAGGCCUGAAAUUGCCACUGCCCUCACAUUCGGCCUUUUGAUGGUUUCUUACUGAGCUCUAACAGAAACAACAAAUCUCCUUAUUUUGUUGCUAAGUCCAUGGUGUUUAAAUUGCACUGACUCUUUGGUCAGAGUUCAGCGCAGCAAACUGUAGGGAAUGGUUUUUGACUGAGAUGGAGCUUAGGAGAUGUAUUAUUUAUUGCAUUCAAUUUUGAAAUGUGGCAAGUGCUAUAAAAUGUUUUUUCCCCAGCUAACUCAAAGCUAUGAAGGAUAGAGAGCCUGCUUCAUUUCAAAUACCUUGCCUUGCCUGUUCUUGGUGGAACUGAAAAUAUGUUUAGAGGGUUAUUUUUUGGUUGUUAUUUUCCCAUGUAUUUGAUAACCCAUUAGAAGUCUUGGUCAGUUUCAAGAAGUAACUGGAAGAGAGUCACAAAAUGCUGCUCGUGUCAUUAGACAUUCUUACUUUAUAUAAAAAAUACUUCAUAUGAAUAAAAAGCUGAAUUUCUUUUAAAAUUUUAAGAUA
rnacentral:lncRNA from 1 species